UAGGGAAUAUUGGACAAUGGACGCAAGUCUGAUCCAGCCAUCCCGCGUGAAGGAUUAAGGCCCUAUGGGUUGUAAACUUCUUUUCUUUGGGAAUAAAAAGCGGUAUUCAUAUCGCCUUGAAGGUACCAGAGGAAUAAGCACCGGCUAACUCCGUGCCAGCAGCCGCGGUAAUACGGAGGGUGCAAGCGUUAUCCGGAUUCACUGGGUUUAAAGGGUGCGUAGGUGGCUUUGUAAGUCAGCGGUGAAAGCCUGGAGCUCAACUCCAGAAUUGCCAUUGAUACUGCAGAGCUUGAAUCAAGUUGAGGUGGAUGGAAUAUUACAUGUAGCGGUGAAAUGCUUAGAUAUGUAAUAGAACACCGAUUGCGAAGGCAGUUCACUAAGCUUGUAUUGACACUGAGGCACGAAAGCGUGGGGAUCAAACAGG
rnacentral:rRNA from 1 species